rnacentral:lncRNA from 1 species
GACCAUUAAUAGGAAUGGAUGUGCUCGAGCAGAAGAUCCUGGGAAGCCACCCUUCAGACUGCUGUGCUACAUGCUGAUGAGUCAAUCAGUUGCACUGGGUGUCUUCGGAGAAGAACAGAAAUAAUGAUCCCACUGCUGUCCUGUGAAGAGCUGUAGAGGAAAUGUCAGCCAAUGGCAUAUGCAAGCUCACCAAGGCAGCAUCUCUGGAACAGUCAGUAAUGGAGAUGGGGGAAACAUGAAGUUUGGAGAGAAAAGUCUCUCCGAAUAACUACUACUAACAUGGAAGAUAAAGAAAUCAGAGUGAUCCAUAUUCAGGAAAG